CGGGGCGUAGCGGAGCCUGGUACCGCGCCUGGUUUGGGACCAGGAGACCGGAGGUUCGAAUCCUCUCGCCCCGACCA
rnacentral:tRNA from 1 species